UACGUAGGGUGCAAGCGUUGUCCGGAAUUAUUGGGCGUAAAGGGCUCGUAGGCGGUUUGUUGCGUCGGCUGUGAAAUCCCGAGGCUCAACCUCGGGUCUGCAGUCGAUACGAGCAAACUAGAGUGUUGCAGGGGAGACUGGAAUUCCUGGUGUAGCGGUGAAAUGCGCAGAUAUCAGGAGGAACACCGGUGGCGAAGGCGGGUCUCUGGGCAACAACUGACGCUGAGGAGCGAAAGCGUGGGGAGCGAACAGG
rnacentral:rRNA from 1 species